CUGCAGCCUGCAGCCAGCUGAAUAUGCAGAGAACUUACCAGCAAGGCCAGCCUGCACCCAGCUGAAUAUGGAGAACUGUCAGCCAUGCUUAUGCACUGUACGGUCUUGCAGACAAACCCUCAUUUAUCAGUCCUGGUUCCAAUGUCACCAGGCCUAACUCACUGACUUUGCAAACCAAGUCCUCCAAAACCACACACUGUUUUUAAAAUCAUGCCUGUUUUCUUUCUUUUGCAGGGAGAUUACAGCCUUCAAGAUCCAGUCCCUGUUUUUCCCCACAACAUGGUUUCUAGAGCCCAGGAUCUUCAUUCCUGACCUAACUCAAAGGUGAGAUUCUCUGUGGGUCAGAAACUCCAGCACCUGGGGCUUGGAUGGUAUUGCUGAGAAUUCACAUAGGCUGCAGUUACUCCAACUGGUGGAAACACCCCUGCAGUGUCUGGGCUGUGACAGUAGCCUAAAACACGUACUGGGGCAGCCAAAGGCUCUGUGCAAGUACCUCCAGGACCAUCCUUGCCUCUCCAGCUCUUCAUCUGAAAAGAACCUGGGCACCUCAGUAGACAGCACAUUGAACACAAGCCAGUAGCAUGCACUGGCAGUAAAGGCAGCUGGCAGUAUCCUAGGCUGUGUUAACAGGAACGCAGCUGGUGGUAGAUAAAGGAAAGUGAGUAUCCCUAUCAGUAUUUAUUAGGCCUCAUGAAGAAUACUGCAUCCAGUUUUCCUCCCAGUACAGGAAAAGACAUGGACAAAUUGGAAUGAUUUCAACAGAGACCACCAAAGUACUCAGGGCUUGGAGCACUUGGUCUGUAAGGAAAGGCAGAAGGGCCCUGGGCUGGUUCAGCCUGCAGAAGAGAUGGUUUCAGGGGGACCCCAAAGCAAUCUGUCUGUACCAACACACAAAUUACUCAACAAGAUGGAACCAGGCUCUUACCAGUGGUGCUUGGUGGGAGGAUGAGAGACAACGAGCAUAACUUGAGAGAUAUUCAGACUUGAGAAAAGGAAAAACCUCUUCGUUAUGAGAACAGUCAAGCACUGAGCAGGGGCCAUGAGAGGCUCCCACCAGAGAGGUUUUCAAGAUCCAAGUGGACGAAGCCCUCGGCCACCUUGUCUGAUUUUACAGUUGACCCUGCCUGCAUAGGGAACUGUUGAGGUACUUUUCUACCUGAAUUAUCCUGUGAUCUCUAACAACAUACAAGGAGAAAGGGUCUCUUAACAUUCCCUUUGAGUGUCAGCUGCCUGCCAUCAGCUACACAAUCCCUUCCUACCUAGCACACAUGUUUCUGCUCUCCCAUACCACGCCAUUCAGGACAACUGAACAUCUGCUUCCCCAGCCUCAUGCUUUCAGAGUCCAGGAAACUCCUGCUUGGCCAAGGCUGAUCCAUCUCAUCUUCUUACACAGAAGGAGAAUGCAAAAGCUGCAAGCAAUGUGCUGUGCAGCGCAGUCUCCAACACCUGGCACCAGCUCCACCUCCUUCUCCCCGGGGAGUUCCACUGGAAACUUUCAACAUCUGAAAACAAAGAAGCAGCUCCACAGGACAGAUGACUCACCAACUUUCAAACCGAUUAUGUUUACGAGGCAGGUGGGUCUGCCUUGUGCAGGAUGGUGGAGGAGAGGCUGAAAUGUGACAUUAGAAGAAUUACUAGGCUGAGACCAGGAGAGUGGCUCUUAGCACAUUCAUGAGGAAUGCUUCCAAUUACUGCAAUUACAGGGCUUGGACACAUCUUCCUGCUUGCGUUUUUCAUUAACAAUUGUGUGGUCAAUUCUGCUACUUUUCACUGGGCAAGCAGCCAGAAGAUGGCAGCAGCCUCUGCUCCUGGCAAGGUCCAGAGGAAGGACAGGUACAGGCUGCUCCACCAAGAGACCAAGCUGGCAACACAGGUCCAGCCAGACAUACAGAAGUCCUGGCUCCUGACAACAAGACCACCAUCUUGGAAAGGGGAGAUGAGUGCCACAGUUAACUGUCCUGAUGGAAGAGCACACUCCUCACAUGAGGUUUAGCAGCACUGAGCACAGCUGGUUCCUCAGCAGGAAAUGCCAUCACAAACACUGCCAGUCUCCUAAGUCCCAGACAACUCAGUUUCAGCUACAUCAGCUUUCCUGACACAAAGCAAGACAAACAAUUCCGUCCACAAGGCUAUUCCCAAUCCAUGACUCCCCAGGCAACUGCAGGACACAACCUCCCAGGUUAGCGUGGCUCCAGGAAAAGACACAUGCUUUUCCAUGCACAGGAUGCAGACUAGAAGCAAAUGUUCUUUCAGCAUCCUUGGAGUGAAGAGGGUUAAGACCGUUAACAUCAAAAACAGCACAUUCCAGUGAUUAAAAAAAAAAAAAAAAAGAGCCUCAGUGCAGAAGCAGGGGGUGGAGGUAGCGGGCAAGGAUUUCCCACUACAAAGAUCAUGAAUGUAUGCAAGCCCUUUGCAGCCCUGAGCUGGGUGGAAACCAGCCCCCUAGCCAUCUGCUCUCCUUCCCAGCUCUCCUUCCCCACUCUCAUGCUAGUCCUGUAUUUUGGAGCCAGGCUGGCUUUCCCACUAUGAGACGGAGCUGCUGUAACACUACAGUAAGCUUGAUGAUGACGCCUUGUCUUCUGGACAGAACUAGGGAGUGCAGAGGGGUUUUCAGGGACACCUCCUUGCCCUCAGGGCGUUUACUAUGUUGAAAUUGCAGCAGGAAGGCAAGCAGCUGUUCCUCAAAUAUAGAGAUCUCCCAGGGGAAGGUGGGGGGCAAAAUCAGCACACAUGUAAACACCUGGUCUUACAGGCAAGAACAGAGUUUGUGGAAGGAGUGCAGCACCUCUGAGAUCCAUUCAGCUUUGUUUCCACUGGUUAAUUAGUUCAAACAUCAGCAAUAUUCAACCACAGCCCGCUAUUUCCUGUAUCUGCCUGCGUGUCAAAGUGUGUGUGCACUGGCCUGCACAGAAAGGGAAAAGCCUCCCCACUACAAACACAUAUGUGCAUGUUCUCCCUCAAAAAGAUGCCAGUGUAUCUGCGUUCCUGUACUUGCCUCUUUUUCUAUUUCUGGCAUUUUUGGUGCACACUAGGGUUUUUUUCCUUAGAGGGGAGAAGGUGGGCAGGGAUUCUUUUUUCCUCUCAUUCAAUUUCAGUGCCUACUCAAGAAAGAGGGACAUUGUUAACAGACACGCAGGGCUCUUAGACACUGUUGCACUACCGUGCACCAGCACACAGUCCCUCCUGAGCUCCCCCCAACGCACUGCCACAUUCCCGUUCACGACUAGCCUGCAGCCCUGCUCCUGAGCGAGACCACAUCCAGGUACAGAGUGACUCCGCCUGAAGGAAGGGCUACAAUUUCAGCAAACGCAAAGAUGAGGUCCGUCAACUUCCUUUAUAGACCUAUUCCAGCAUUUUACCCAAGAAGGUAGCUUCUGUUCCCUCACUAAGUCCCAUCACCUCAUCCUGAGGCUUCUGGGGAGGAAAGACAGAGUAUUCACAGUGAGAAAGGAGCCGCACACCAUGCCCCAGCAGAGCUGCCUAGACAGGAACACUGCCACGUUCCCAGAGAAUCAAAAAGCUCUUACCCUAUCCUUCUUGCCAGUUUGUGCAUGGACCCCUGCCAAAGUCUGUGGCCACAUUAUAACUUUGUUCGUUGAUCUCCUACACUCACAAGGCACUGCUUGUACUAGCCAAGCCUGCAAAAUCAGGUACAUCUAACUGCAAGCAAUGGAGAUUUGCUCUGAGAGCAGAGAUGGAGCACGAAGAUAUGUUCUCAGACUCACAGGGAGUCAGAGUCCCAGGAAAGAGGCACUCAGGAGAGCAUGAGGCGCUUCAAACAUGGGAGCACCCCUACCAGCUCCAUGGUGGGUUUAAAUAGGCUCUUCUGGGGCUCUCCAUGCAGCUAGUGCUUCCACUUCCCAGAACAUCUCUAGCUGAGAGAGAGUACUAAAGCAGUCAAGAAGAGGGUGUUCUACCCAGCACCCUAUGAUGUCCAGCCAGGAGAGCUAAGAGCCAGCAUUGCUCAAGCCUGUCGAAGCUCUGGAGUACAGGGAAGUCUUGCAGACACCGCAGUCAGACGUGAAAGAAAAAGCAGAGUGCGACUCUAUCCCUAACUUAUUACUUUUCUAAAUUGCAAGUGCCUCUGGAAGGCUCUGAAGUGCAAUGGAUAGGCAAAGAGAACUGAAAAAAGACACCUCUGGCCAACAGGACACGUGUGCCUCACUGCUUUGAGUCAUUCAUUCAGUCCACUUCCCACAAGUGCCAAUAGUGCUUCCCCAUUUUGUUAUCUCUGUAUCUCCUUUAUCCAGAGCCUCAAAAUUUAUGAGGGAGAAAUAGUCUCAGGUCACUGUUCCACUCACCACAAAUCACAGGAUUUGCCCAUCCUCCAUCACAGUGCUCCCGCCAUUACUGAAAGAGUAACACAGAACAGAUGGACACAGUGGAUUCAGGUGAACAAAAGCAAAGCAAGCAAAUCUGGGACAAAGAACAGCAAUACUGCCACAGGAAGCGUGGGGAAUGACGAAGAGGGAAAAUACAAGCUGCGCUCCCUCCCUUGCAAAGUUGAGGCUCUCCCCAGAAGCUGUUACAAAAGCAAGAUAAACCCACAAACAAUAGGAUCCACUCAUUUUCCUUCUAUGUUUCCCUGGCAACACCAAGCACUCAAUGACAGUUUAGAGUGCAAAAGACCCAUCUGUUUGGUCAGUUAAAGGCAGGAAGACGAAGAGACUUAAGCAGAGCUUCUCAGCACUUGUUGUUUGGUAACCCCAUUGAGGCAACCUGCAGUACUAACAUUUAUAUUCAGCAUUACCCUGUAUUUAAAUCCAAAUCUCUAUGCUGGAACUCUAAAACUCUAGUGAAGAACGUGUUUUUUCACUGAUAAUUUACAGAUCUACAGCUACUCCUGCACACAUAGAUGGGAAUGCAUGACAGCAUCAUGAAGGUAGAUGCACACAGAUCUCAGUGGGAGUGUUCCAGGCAAGAGAAAGUAAAUUCCAGGACUGUUGCCCAAACACACUGAUGCGCAGAUGCUAACAGAAGCCCUAGCUGGACAAAGAGGUCUCAGUAGACCCCCCCAAAAUGGUCAAGCUGCAUGGUUCCAGACUGGACUCUAAGAAGUUCCUCUCCUCAGUCAAAGGGCAGGACCAUGUCUUUACUAUAUAGCUAGGCCCACCUAUUUAGCAUUCCUGCUAGGCAUGUGGGUUUGUUGGCAUUUUUGUUAUGGUCACUUGUGGAAUAAGGUCCUGAAGGGCCAACACUGUCCAUUCUCACCUCUUUAUAGGAUGCUGGGGCUGGCCAACGAGCCUUCAUCUCACACAGCCCUGACUCAAGGCUAGUACGCAGAUGGACCUCUGCUUGUCAUACAACUCUUGAUAUAGCUGUUCAAGUAGAACCUUAGGCAAUGAACCUCUAUUCCUUAAAUCACAUGCAAGCUGACUUGAAGACUCUUAGCACAGGCCCCCAAAGCUAUCAGGGCUCAAGAAGAAAUUAUGCCCACCCAGGUGCUUGUGCCUUCUCUAUCUGAUGAGUUAUCACACAAAUUUUUUCAUGCCUCAAGCGUGUUCCAAGCAUGCUAUCCCAAACCAUGUAAUCAAAUCAAUGUGACAUUUCACCUGAAUGGUAGAAGUCACUCUAGCAUAAAACAGACAAAAAAGAACUUUUAAAGCAGUAGAAAGGAAAAAUAAACAAACAAACAAACAGGAUUCUGCCUAUUCUGCACACCAGCAGUCACGGCAUAGUCAACUCUACCCCAAUGAGAUUCCUGUCCUGCUGAGAGAACUGCACAGGGAAACAUCAUAUAAAGACUGCGAAACAGCAGUGCUUUCCCAGAACCAGAGGUAAUCUUGUGGAUUAGUCUCAGGCAGGAAUCCUUGCAGGACCACCUUCAGCAAUUCCCAGCCACUCACAGAAUGGAAAAACCCUUUCCAUCCAUCGCACUGCAGACCAAGAUAAAUAGCAAAAGUAUUUCAGCAUGAGCUGGAUUAAGGCCUCCUUCCUGUGUAACAGAAACACCUUUAGAAUACGACCUACCACAUACGUCCCUGCACCACAAGGUCCCGACAUGUAUUUAUUAGGCUGAGGAAAAAAAUCUUCCUCCAAUGAAUCUCAAGGAGUAGUUAAUAGUUAAUUAUCAUCAAGCAACUCACAAGGGGUUUUUAUCUUCCUGGGCAGGAAUAGGACAGAGAUCCUCUGCCAUUCCUACCUGUAUACUAGAAGAAACUAGAAAACUAGAAUAGGAUUUUUUCCAUAACAGACAAAUGAUGCUCAGUCAGUCCCACAAGCAAGCUGAACUGACUAUCCAUACCAUAUACUGUGACAAAAUCAUGAAGCAGUAGACACUUUCACGUUCCUACUUUUGUGUUUCUCUUACCUUUAUCUCCAAAAAGAACAACGUUUUACAAAACAAGAAAAUAGAUCACAAUCACAGAAUUGUAGGGGCUGGAAGGGACCUCAAGAGACCACCGGGUCCAACCCCCCUGCCAAAGCAGGUUCCCUAGAGCAGGUUACCCAGGUAGGCGUGCAGACAGGCCUUGAAUAUCUCCAGAGAAGGAGACUCAACAACCUCCCUGGGAAGCCUGUUCCAGUGCUCCAUCACCAUAGAUACCUACCAAUCCCCACCAAAAGCAAGUGGUGACACAGUGUCAUAUCUGUCACCAAAAAGUUGCGUUUAGAUCAGAAACACAAAGUAUUGGGACACUAGGUUCUAGGGCAUCCCCUUCACCUUAAAGAAACAAUACCAGAACCAAAAGGCUACAGGGCCUUACAGUUCCCAAGCAGCAGCAUUUGCACUAUUACAUUUCAUCUUCCAGCACCAUAUAGGGUGCAAAUCCUUGCCUGUGAACAAAUUUUGCCUUUACCUUGGAUUUACAGGGACCAGAAAUCCCAGUCUAAGAGCUACACAGCAGAAGAAGCCUAAGGUUCAGUUCUAGGAGAGUGAAAAGUAAAAUGCAAAGAGCAGUUGCAGUAUUGCUAAACAGAGAUCACACACAGAAUCACUGCCUCAGAUCAAGUGCGAGCAGCAUUCAGUGCUUCACCAAAAACGAUGGGGCUUACACGUAUCAGUAUGGCAAACAGGCUGAAUCCUGCUGGAAGCAUCACGAGUCCUAGCUAUUGGAAAAUUCGGCAAGGAGCAGACCAAGCCAUUCUUAGCUCCAGACAACAUCCUGCUGAUGCACAGGAUCACUUGGUAUGCCAGCCUGGCCGAUAAUUACUGGUUCAGAAGCUUUAUAUGAAGUAGUUGCACCACCUGCUGUCUGCUCCAAGAGAAGCUACCAGUGUUCAUUAGAUUCACAGAA